rnacentral:rRNA from 1 species
AUGGCUGGCGGCGGCGCUGGAUCCGUGGUGAACGGGACGGCACUCAGGCGCGACCGCGUCGCCGUCCCCGCCCCCCUCCCUGACGAGGUCGUCCAGUGGGAAAUCCUCGUCCGCGUGCCGGCGAAGGAGCUCCUCCGCUGCCGCGCGGCCUGCCGCUCCUGGCGCCGCCUCGCCUCCGACGCCGCGUUCCUGAUGGCCCACCACCGCCGCCAGCCAUCGCUCCCGCUGGUCUUCUUCCGCACCAGGAGUAACGACUACGCCGCCCACGCCGUGGUUGAUGCCUUGGAUAUCCGGCGAACCCCCGCCGCUCGCCGGCCCGUGCUCGGGUUCGACGACUACAACAAAUCUCGCCGUAGCUUCACCAUCCACGCCUCCUGCGACGGCCUCCUCCUCCUUUCCCUCUCCAACCACCGCUUCUACAUCUGCAACCCGGCGACGCGCCAGUGGCUCCAGCUCCCGGAUCUGACCGGCGGCAGUGUCGCGGCCCUGUACCCUCACCGCCCGUCGGGCGACUACCGUGUCCUCUUCUGGAAGCAUCCAGACAACAAGAGUUGCAGGGUUGCCUACUACGUCCUCACCGUCAGCUCGUUGCAGGGACAACAGAGAUGCAUCGGGCUGCCAGUGGCCUCGCCAUCCAUGAACAAGGACAGAUCCUGGUGGCACCUUCAAGCCUCCGAGCGCCCGCCUCUCCUGCUACAUGACUGCCUACACUGGCAUGCUUUCAACAGCAAGAUUAUAAUUUUCGACACGGUGGCAGAGUCAUUCAGCUGGGUGCAAUCUCCCACAUCCACCAGCUCGGCACACCUGCUUCAGAUGGAUGGUAUGCUCGGCAUCGGCUGCAUAGAUACCGCUACCAUGACCGCGAAAGCUUGGGUGUUGGAGGACUAUGAGGCGGAAGUAUGGUCGUCAAAGUACCAGAUUGAAUUGCCGGAGGAGGAGAUGAUGGAAGAUGGUAAAUGUGUUCAGUGUCUAUACGGCAAGGUUGUGUCUGAGAACGGAGAUAUGCUGCUAAUCGGUCGCAUUUGUUGGUCCCUCUCCCUGUUUCACUGUGACAACAAGGGAGAGUUGAUCCAGAAAUUCCUAUGGGAGAACGUUGAUCCAAAGCUUCUCGGGAUCUCUUUCAAAGAGAGCCUAGUCAGGCAUCCGUUCUUCCAGAGGAAAGAUGACAGCCGUGUGAGGCUGCCACGUUUUCUCCGAGGGCUGUAG